AUUGAACGCUGGCGGCGUGCUUAACACAUGCAAGUCGUGCGGUAACAGGCGUAGCAAUACGUGCUGACGAGCGGCGAACGGGUGCGUAAUACAUGGGAAUCUGCCCUUUGGUGGGGAAUAACCCGGCGAAAGCCGGGCUAAUGCCGCAUAAGAUCUUCGGAUGAAAGCGGGGGAUCGUAAGACCUCGCGCCGAUGGAUGAGCCCAUGUCGGAUUAGCUAGUUGGNGAGGUAACGGCUCACCAAGGCGACGAUCCGUAGCUGGUCUGAGAGGACGGCCAGCCACACUGGGACUGAGACACGGCCCAGACUCCUACGGGAGGCAGCAGUGGGGAAUAUUGGACAAUGGGCGAAAGCCUGAUCCAGCGACGCCGCGUUUGUGAAGAAGGCCUGGCGGGUU
rnacentral:rRNA from 1 species